rnacentral:rRNA from 1 species
AUGUACGCGGACCGGUUCCCGCCGGCUGAGUUGCACCAGCGGCCGGCUGACUACCAACUCAAAACCUGGGACUACGACUCCAUUUGCGCCAUGAGGCAGCAGGCGCAACAAGACGACAAGCAUAGCAAGCAAAGCUCACUCCAAUCGAGCUUGAAGCAGAGAGUGAGGCGGCUUUUGCUCGAGGAGGAAGAAGAGCUGGCAACUAGGCUCAAGAUCAUUGACCAACUCCAAAGUCUCGGUGUAGCAUACCAUUUCGAGGAGGAGAUCAGAAGCAUCCUCAUGUCCAUGCAUGUGCAUCAUGCACAGCUUCAACUCAAGCAUGACCUCUCAUCAACAGCACUGCUAUUUAGAAUGCUCAGAGGACAUGGAAUCUCUGCGUCCAUAGAUAUGUUGAGUGCAUUCAGGGAUGAGAAUGGUGAUUUCAAAGCUGCAAACCCCAAGGACAUUGAUGCUUUUGUUGCACUCCACGAAGCUUCCUACCUGGCCUUCCCAGGAGAGCCCAUGCUGGACGAAGCAAGAUCAUUCGCCGUCAAGAAACUCGAAGAACUGAUGCCGUCCAUGUCGAUCUCCAUGGGGCCUGCUAGCCAAACGGAAAGACAAGGAGACCUCCCGUUGCACUGGAAAGUUCCCCGGCUGCAGGCGACAUGGUCGCUGAAACAACACCGCUACAACGACGAGCGCUCGAUCGAUCAUUCCAUCCUGCAGCUCGCUGCGGUCGACUUCAACCUCGUGCAGGCCGUCCAUGGAGCAGAGCUCGUGGAAGUCACCAAAUGGUGGAAGGAGACCGGGUUGGGCGAGAAGCUACCGUUCGCGAGGGACCGUCUGGUGGAGUGCUUCUUCUGCGCGACCUGCAUCGCACCCGAGCCCUGUCUCGCGGGCUGUCGCGAGCUGCUGGCCAAGGUGGGCUCCCUUAUCGUCCACCUCGACGACGUCUACGACCUCUACGGCACGUUCGACGAGCUGGCUGCCUUCACAGAUGCUGUCGGCAGCUGGGAUGACGAUGCUUUGUCGACGGCACUGCCGGAGUACAUGAAGGCGAUGUACUCAGCCAUCCGGUUGACGUCGACGGAGGCAGCGGAUCGGGUGAUGAAGGAGCAAGGAAGAUACGACGUGCUCCCGCUCUACAAGAAAGCAGUAAGACAAGAGGAGAUAGAUCCAUUGAUUUUCUUCUUCUUUCGUUUGGGAUAUACCUUUGAGGAUCGAUGGAUUAACAUGCAUGUGGAUGCAUGCAUGCAGUGGCAUGAGCUGUGUAAGGCAUUCCUCAUAGAAGCCAAGUGGCAGCACGAGGGGCAGAUGCCAUGCUUGGAGGAGUACCUUGAGAACGGGUGGGUCACGUCCACGGGGCCUCUGCUGCUGCUCCACGCUUUCACCAUGCUCCAGCAGCAAGAGCAGAUUGAUUCAUGGCUGCGCAAUCACGACGACGGCGACGACAUGGUGUACCCCAAGCUGGUUGAGCUAUGUUCCAUGAUCUUCCGGCUCUGCAACGACUGCGCGACCCACGAGGCCGAGUCGGAGCGGGGUGAGGCGGCGUCGGUCAUCACCUGCCGCAUGGGCGGUGGCGCGAGUAAGGAAGAGGCCCGGGCUGCGGUGGCGGACGCCAUUGCCGAGACUUGGAAGAAGGUGAACAGGGAGGUCGCCUUGAGCAGCAGCACCGGGACCGGGAGCACGGCCAGCCUCGUCUGCGUCAACCUGGCGAGGACCAUUCAAUGCAUCUAUCAAGACGGCGACGGCAUCACCUCGCCCAAGGACAGCCGGAAACAACUCGUCAAGGACAUGCUUUUCACGCCUGUUGAUCUAGAUAUUUUUGGCGCACACUAG